rnacentral:rRNA from 1 species
AUUAGUGGCGAACGGGUGAGUAAUACGUGAGUAACCUACCUUUAACUCUGGGAUAAGCCUGGGAAACUGGGUCUAAUACCGGAUACGACCAAUCUCCGCAUGGGGUGUUGGUGGAAAGCGUUAUGUAGUGGUUAUAGAUGGGCUCACGGCCUAUCAGCUUGUUGGUGAGGUAACGGCUCACCAAGGCGACGACGGGUAGCCGGCCUGAGGGGGUGACCGGCCACACUGGGACUGAGACACGGCCCAG